UGCCAGCCGCCGCGGUAAUACGGAGGAUCCAAGCGUUAUCCGGAUUUAUUGGGUUUAAAGGGUUCGUAGGCGGAAUAUUAAGUCAGUGGUGAAAUCCUACAGCUUAACUGUAGAACUGCCAUUGAUACUGGUCUUCUUGAGUACAAAUGAGGUGGGCGGAAUGUGGCAUGUAGCGGUGAAAUGUAUAGAUAUGCCACAGAACACCAAUUGCGAAGGCAGCUCACUAAAAUGUAACUGACGCUGAGGAACGAAAGCGUGGGGAGCGAACGGGAUUAGAUC
rnacentral:rRNA from 1 species